GGGGAAUUUUCCGCAAUGGGCGAAAGCCUGACGGAGCAAUGCCGCGUGGAGGAGGAAGGCCCGAGGGUUGUAAACUCCUUUUCUCAGAAAAGAAGAUCUGACGGUAUCUGAGGAAUAAGCAUCGGCUAACUCUGUGCCAGCAGCCGCGGUAAGACGGAGGAUGCAAGCGUUAUCCGGAAUGAUUGGGCGUAAAGCGUCUGUAGGUGGUUUAUUAAGUCUGCUGUUAAAGCACAGGGCUCAACCCUGUAUAGGCGGUAGAAACUGGUAGGCUUGAGUAUGGUAGGGGUAGAGGGAAUUCCCGAUGUAGUGGUGAAAUGCGUUGAUAUCGGGAAGAACACCAAAGGCGAAAGCGCUCUGCUGGGCCAUAACUGACGCUCAUGGACGAAAGCCAGGGGAGCGAAAGGGAUUAGAUACCCCAGUAGUC
rnacentral:rRNA from 1 species